AUACGUAGGUGGCGAGCGUUAUCCGGAUUUAUUGGGCGUAAAGGGUGCGCAGGCGGUCUGUUUAGUCUGGGGUGAAAUCGUUGAGCUCAACUCAAUUAAGCCUUGGAUACUGGCAGACUUGAGUGCAGAAGAGGGUUAUGGAACUCCAUGUGUAGCGGUAAAAUGCGUAGAUAUAUGGAAGAACACCGGCGGCGAAGGCGGUAAACUGGUCUGUAACUGACGCUCAGGCACGAAAGCGUGGGGAGCAAAUAGGAUUAGAUACCCUAGUAGUCCACGCCCUAAACGAUGAUUACUAAAUGUUGGGGAAACUCAGUGUUGUAGCUAACGCAAUAAGUAAUCCGCCUGGGGAGUAUGCACGCAAGUGUGAAACUCAAAGGAAUUGACGGGG
rnacentral:rRNA from 1 species